rnacentral:lncRNA from 1 species
GUCUAGUGAAAGUAAAAAGAAGAAAAACAGAGCUAAGCCAAGGAAAUGAUUUCUUUCCCACCUACAAUGCAUGAAAAGAAAUUAACAUGAAAAGGGUCUGAGGAAGACAUUAAUAUUUUGAUAGUGGCAGAAGAAUGUUAUUUACAAAAAUAAUGACAAAUGUUGAAGAGAAAAUACAGGCUUCCUAGCAACUAGACCAAAGAUAAGAUGCUGUUGAAUUCAAGAUAGACAUUUGGAAUAUACAGUUAGCUGUCAUUUGAACACAGGCCCAUGGCACAAGUUCAGAAACGUAAAGUUACAGAGAAAAUAAAGACCCCCAGAGCAAAAUCACCACAGUCUCCAUGGAAAUCAAUUGGUUCAUUCUUCGUCUUAAGAGUCCAGCAUUCACUCAACAAACAUCUUAUGCUGCCAGGUUUCUCUAAUGCAGCAGGUACGGUCACUAGGAAGAUUACAAACUUGGGUUAAAAAACCUAGAUCACGUUCAAGAUGUUGCAGCUGAGCAGUUACAAUCCAAGAGACUAGGCCCAGACAGAAGGAUAUGCCACAGCAGGAGACAGGAUCCAGAAUGAGAAUAGACAAAAGACAUUUUCAAAAGUCCAGGUUCACAGCUUGACAGAAGCCUUCACACAGAAAGAGCCAUUGCACAUUGGACAGAUGAUCCCAGAAUGGAAGUUUCCAGAGGAAAUAACAGUCAAUAAACAGGUAGGUUAUCAGGUACAGUUGAUUGUUGAGAAAUAUGAACAAUGCCUUAUUUAUAAAGCUACCGAACAGAGCAUGAUCUUUGCAUUAACUUCCAUAUCAACUUAGAAAAUUGUCUACUUACAGUUACCAAAUCUAGAAGAAGCAUUGUGUAAGAAUGUUAAAUAAACCUGCUUUGCUCUUUCCUAUAAAAGGAAAUGGCAUGCACAUUAGUCAUUACAAUAAAAAUGCCAACUAUGGCUUUAUCAGUGCUAUAAGGCCAUUGGCAAGGAUUUGUUUUUGAAAACAUAUAAUAUAUAUACAUAUGUAUGCACAUAUAUAUACAUUAAAUUUAUAAAAUCUUAUGUCAUCUUAAAAAUAACUGACUUUUUAAACAUGUAAAAUCUAGACUCAGACUCUGAAGGGGCAGGGAGGAAGUCCAAUAGAGCAGUCCUCGGAACAGCUCAUAAGCUGCUCCCUGGGUUAUAAUGUGUUCACAGUGUCGUUAAGGAGGGUCAGGAAUGACAGAAAAUGCCUUUACUCUCCUGCAAUUUAGACUGUGUCUGCAUCCAAUCAGAUUUAGAGCACUGGUUCUAUUUUAAGGAAGUAGAAAGAAAAAGACAGUAAGUUUCACGGAAGUAGUCAAGAGUUGAUGGAACAAACAAGAUUGCAUGUGGAAUACUUUAUGAGCAGAUAACACUUUAGAACCAGGCACAUUUUGAAAACUGAAGAGUAUAGAAAAACCACAAUUUUUUAAAAGCUAAGUCCAUAGUAACUGUUAUGGAAAAAAAGGAAAAGAAAAUUGGAGAUUCUAUUUCUAAAACCACUAGUAGAAUUCCCAAGUCUCCUCUGCCAAGCCUGGUGGACAACUCCAUCUACUCUGACGCUGCCUGGGAGAAGAGAAAUCACAUCCCGGUGCCCUGGUAGGUCAAUAAAUGUUAAAAUCAAAUUAGGAAAUUUAAAGGAAAACAGAUGGGUGUAGAACGAAUUUCGUUGAGAGAACCAGAUAUACUUCCUGUUUCUUUUGCAGUCUUUCAGUGUUUUUAUGUGUGUAAUUGAAGGGAUGUUAAAGGAAGGAAAAACUAAAUACUAGAUAGGAGAAAUCUGGGAGGGGAAGGAGAAAUGAUAAGGAAGGUGGCAGAAAGGCAAAAGUGAGCAGGCGACAUGAAAGAAGAGAUGCUACCAGGAGGGGAAAGGUACGAAGGGCACACAGAAGGAAGAAAAAUAACAAAAAAAACAAAAACAAAAACAAAAACAAAAACAAAAACAAAAAAACCUAAAAGAACAAAAAAAAAUUUUUUGUUUGAAAAGGCCAAAAUAAAAUCUAACAUCAAUAUUCUGACAAAAGUUAUAUUGAAAGUGUUCUUUUUGAGCAUAUGCUAAAUUUUCACUCUUCUAAGCGAGGUAGAUUAAAAUUCAUAGCAUAAAUGCACAAAGACCAAGGCUACCAAAGUCCCUCUGCUCCCAAUCUCGGUGACUAUUUCUGCUGGAAUCCUCUGGGUUUUGAUCAUUUAAGUUCCAUUUAUCUGAGGAGGAUACAAACAGAUGCAGAAGCACGGCGAUUCGCAAGCUCCUCUGACCGUGGCGAUUCCCCAGCCAUACAAUUGUUUGUAGUUUUGCUUCUGUUAUGACCCGUAAGGUAAAUAUCUGUGUUCUCUGAUGGUCUUAGUUGAACCCUGUGAAAGGGUUGUCCUAUCCCCAAAGGGAUCUCAAUGCUCAGGCUGGGAACCACUGGGCUAGCAAGAUCCCAUUCCACUCAUCCACCCCACCCCCACCCCUAAUUUACCUAUUGACUGUUAUGAGGUCAGUCAGCAGGCCAGAGAGACUUGUUGAUCAGAACGACGUUCUGUCGACCAGCUGACAGUCAAAAACUAUAUGGCAAACAAGACCUCUAAACCUGGAGUCCAAUGCAAAAACAUGCAACACAGAGGACAGUGUGAAUGUUAAUGGGUGACUCAAGAAAGAUCUGAAGGAUCGGUCACCCAGAAGUCACAUACACACUAAUCCCUUUGGAAGGUCCCAUGACAUAGGCCAGGGAAUUUCCUUUUCUUUUUCAACCAGAAAUGACUUAACAAAUUGACAUUCUUGUCCCCAUGGUCCAACAUAGAAAGCAUUUCUUGGCCUGUCCCCUGACUUCUCUCCUGUGAGAGUUUGAACUGCCGGCUCCCACACGUGAUUGGAUUCUUGCAAAAUCUUUGUGGAAUUUAACUCAUCUUGUGACCUAGAAUUGUGUUACCAUAUGACUGCAUUCUAAACGGUGGCAUAAUGACUGUCCUUACUGUCAAGGAGGUGUUUCUUCCACUGUGUCUCUUCCCAAGUGCAGAGCAAUCGGAAACUCCCCUCCUGGUAUUUAGACCCUUCUAGCAUGCACUGUCACAUGACUCUAUUUUUAUUGAACUUUAGUCCCCAGGGGACUUGAUCGUGUUUGAAAAUCCAUCUUCCUAACAGAAUAAAUCUCAUUUAUUCUUGUGGGUUCUAUAACAUCAGUGCAAGAUAUAAUUAAAAGUAAAAACAUCCAGAAUACAAGGCUUGAGUGUUGUGCAUUUUACAGUUUUAUGCUGUUACCAGUAAAUUGCUGGUUUUUAUAAGACAUUAAGCAAGGAUGAAACUGUAGCAUAAAUCAUUUUGUGCACAAAUGAGGCUAAAUAAAAGGGCAAUGCAUUGGGCGUUCAGAGCUUUAGAAAUGACUCACAGGAAAGCAGCCCACCUUGCAUGUUCAGGCUGUACUUGCUGCUGUUCCUGGAUUCUUCAACUGCUGAGGGGUCCUCCUAAUCCCAAAUUCUUCCUAUGGCUCCACAAGGCAAGUAUUCUCCUUCUCAUUUAGGUUUCCCUGCAGGGUGAAGUAUAAUCUCUUUUUGUCUGGGAUUCUUUUCAAAAAUGCAUGCUACCAUGCACUUUUCUUCUACCAAGUUGUAUCCCCGGGUUCCCAACGCUAUCUCCUGCUAUGCUGAACGGCUGUUCAGAGACUUUCUACUGAUUUUUCUUUUCCUACUUGUAUUCCUACUCAUUAUUACCCACAGCCCAAAGCCUUGACAAAACCGGAGGUAGCAGCAUUAGCUUGUGUGUUCUUGGGGCCAGGUCCCUUGUGUCCGACGGCAUCAGACAGAGGUGUGUGUUCUAGGUAUAUGGGGAUUUCACAAAUAUUUGUUCAAAGAAGGAUUGGAAAGCAGGAUGAGUCCUCUCAGUUCACUUCUGUAACUGACAUCCAACAGAUGUGGGUCUUUAUGAAAUGUUUAGACUAUCAACUCUAUCUAUCUAUCUAUCUAUCUAUCUAUCUAUCUAUCUAUCUAUCUAUCUAUCUAUCUACCUACCUACC